rnacentral:rRNA from 1 species
AACGAACGCUGGCGGCAUGCCUAACACAUGCAAGUCGAACGAGACCUUCGGGUCUAGUGGCGCACGGGUGCGUAACGCGUGGGAACCUGCCCUUAGGUUCGGAAUAACUCCCUGAAAGGGGUGCUAAUACCGGAUAAUGUCUUCGGACCAAAGAUUUAUCGCCUUUGGAUGGGCCCGCGUUGGAUUAGCUAGUUGGUAGGGUAAAAGCCUAUCAAGGCGACGAUCCAUAGCUGGUCUGAGAGGAUGAUCAGCCAGACUGGGACUGAGACACGGCCCAGACUCCUACGGGAGGCAGCAGUGUGGAAUAUUGGACGAUGGACGAAAGCCUGAUCCAGCAAUGCCGCGUGAGUGAUGAAGGCCUUAGGGUUGUAAAGCUCUUUUACCCGGGAUGAUAAUGACAGUACCGGGAGAAUAAGCUCCGGCUAACUCCGUG